UUUAAGUACAACCGUGAGUUUUUUUUCCAAAUUUAAUUGUCUGUCUUAUUUAAUUUUUUUUGUAAAAAAUUAAAAAACAUAAGUCACGCAUAAAGUACUAUUCAUAUUUUAUCAUCUAAUAACAAUAAUAAUACUAAUCAUAAAAAAAUUUUAAAUAAGACGGACGAUUAAAAUUGGACACGGAAACU
rfam:Oryza sativa (indica cultivar-group) chromosome 8, whole genome shotgun sequence.